ensembl:lncRNA
GACGACUGUGUGGUUGUGUGGUUGCGUGCGCACCUCCGUGGUCGCCACGGUCCCUCUGGCCACAUCAUCACUUUGUUGUGAGUCAGCCACAGCCUGUUCAAACAUGCACCCUGAACUGCCAGCCCAUUACACACACACACACACACACACACACACACACACACACACACACACACACACACACACACACACACACACACACACACACACACACACACACACACUCUUGCAGAUUCCACCAGAAAGUGGGAUGGUAGCUUGGUCAGUGCUGUGUGUGUGUUCUGACCUGGUGCAUCCGGUUUGCUCUCAGUUUUACAAUACGUCGUUGCUAUGUGGGUAAGGAGAACUUGAGACCCCCCCCCCACUCCCUCUCCCCAGCUCUUGGCAGAAACGCUUGAUUUGCGUGUGUCGGCUCCUUUUGCACCUUUAUAUCGGAGAGAGGCGGCUUGUGAUUGCACUUUGUAACUGAGUUAAUGGCACUUUUUGGUCGACCAAACGGGUACUUCGCUGACACGAGACAGGGAUGGAAGAGGAAGAGGAAAAGGAGUCGGCCCCGACUCCUCUUCCUCGGUUUCGUUCAGGGUUUGGCGACAAGUUGCCAAAAAUAAAAAGAACGAAAAUCUAGACACAAAUGUGUAAUGAGAUGAGAUCUCACAAAGACAUGUCAGGUGGACUAAGAAAACAAAUAUGUAUUUAGAAAGAAAAAAACAAAUAUAUAUAAACAUAUAUAGAUAUACAUCGAACCCCUGUAAACAAAUGCACUUCAGAGAGUGAGACGUAAGGGAGUGAGGAGAGUGUGAACGUAGCGGUCAGGGUGCUCCGUGCUUGCACGCGUGUGCAGAGGCAUGCACUUUUGCUUUCUGCAUGCGUGUGCACGGGCACAUGCGCACGUCACUGGCUGGCUGGCUGGAGGGUCUCAGGACAAGCCUGGAUAAACAAACUUUGUGUCUGCCCCAUCUGUUCACCAGCCCCGCGCGCUGAACCAAACAUAUUUUAGCAGAACAAGAGCAUUGUGAUGAAUUGCCAUCCAAUACCACAGCAUCAAAGAGUGCUUUCUUCGGGAAAACACGCAGAAUAAAUGUUGGUUUGGUUACUCGGUGAUCUGAUCUCUAAAUUGGCUCUGCGCUCGGCCUUUGAAGCCUUUAUUGUUGUAUCUUCAUGAGGUUCAAGAGUGAAUGUCAUGCAGAUACAGGUCUCGAAACCCCGGCGAUAAUGCUGGGUUGUUUGGUUGUGGAUGGUCAAAUACUAAUUGGAUAGGAAUUAUUUUCCAGCUCUAACUGGAAGUAUUCCAACCCCUUCCGCCCAAAAACCGAAUCCAGAACCUCUGAAAGCUGAAGGUCGCUCACCUCAUCUCCCGUGUGUCCGUUUGAACGUCCACAAGCCAAAGAUCUACUGGGCUUGGCGGGAGAGAGAAGUACUGCGUGUUUAUCCAGACCGGGGCUCGCUGACCAGGCUGCACAAUGACCCCCCUAACCUCUUUUACUGUCCUCCAACCCCUCCUUAAUGUCUUUAAAAGAGGCUGUAGCUUUACAUACUUUUCUGCUUCAUGUCUUAGUUUUCUUAAAAUAUUAUAUCGCGCUGCAUUUAAAAAAAAACCCUAACGAGUUGUACAGCCGUGUGUGUGUGUGUGUGUGUGUGUGUGUGUGUGUGUGCGUGUGCGUGUUGUGCGGGUGCAUGCUGGAUCGUGACGGUUCCGGG